UCUCUUCAUUGUUUGUUGGAAUUUCAUAAUCCUCUAAUAUGAUCUUCCAUACUCCAUUGUUGAUUGACUUCAAGUAUAACUUCAUCUUGUUCUUCCAGAAGUCAUACUUUACUCCAUCGAACCUGGGAGGUUUGUUUGACGCAAGACCAGUGUUGAAUUCACCAUUUGGUGUCAUAGUUGUUGUUGUAAGAUGUUAGUCAAACUUCAACGGUACUUGGCUCUGAUACCACUUGUUGGAUCGAGAUCCGAGGCUAUAAGGGGAGAUAAUAGCCUCUUUUCGAUUUAUGCAAGUUAAUAGCGGAAUUACCUGCACACACUUAAGUACACAAAUGGUUGUAUAAUAAUAAUAGUAUAAUAUUGUUAGCAAUAUAAUACUAUUAUAUCAUUUUAAAGAAUAUAAUAUUAUAUCUUAUAAUAUUAUAUAUAUUGGACUUGCCUUUUGCUCUUGAAGUUUACUACAGUAUAUGAAUACGUAGUCAACUUUUUAGAUGGUGUUUUAUAAACAACUAUAGUAUAUGAAUACUAAGUUAUAUUAUAAACACAAAUUAUAUUAUAGAGUAAAUGACCAGAUAACUGGAUAUAUUGAUAAGCAAGUAAAUGACUAGAUAACUGGAUAUAUUGAUAAGCAAGUAAAUGACCAGAUAACUGGAUAUAUAUAUGAUAAGUAAAUGCUUGAACAAAUAUAUGAAUAAGGAUUUAAAGCAAUUAAUAUAACCUCAGAUAGUUGACCAGAUAACUGGAUGAGGGAUCUGCGUAAAGUAGUCAACCUCUGUAUUUGACCAGAUAACUGGAAGAGAGAUCCUUUUCAAUUAAGUGUUGUUUAGUUGUUUUUAGAUGAAAGAUAAAAACUAGAGUUAACAAAGAACAACACAAGAGAUUUAUACUGGUUCACCCAAACAAGGGCUAGUCCAGUCCCGACCAACUGUCAGAAUUCACUCGCCUAAAGGUUAUGGCAAAACCUUAGAGUAUCAAGGAAACUCUUAAGAACCUCUCUAAGCUUUAAGGCUAGUUCGCUUAGGAACCAGUCUUUUACGGGUAGACUCACACCUUAGAGUAUCAAGGGCACUCUUAAGAACCUCUAACUUUUGCGGGUAAGUUAGUACCUUAGAGUAUCAAGGAACUCUUAAAAACCUCUCUAAGCUUUAAGGCUACUUCGCUUAGGAACCAGUCUUUUACGGGUAGACUCACACCUUAGAGUAUCAAGGGCACUCUUAAGAACCUCUAACUUUUACGGGUAAGUUAGUACCUUAGAGUAUCAAUGAACUCUUAAAAACCUCUGAAAUCUUUCAAGGUAGACUCGACCUAAGAGUUUUCCCGGAAACUCUAUAAAACCAAACUAGAGCUUUAUGGUUGAGCUCAAAAACCUUCUCUCACACUUUGGUACUAUUGAGACAACCCUCUCAACCAAAGUGGACACACACAAGAGGUGAUUAGAGGAGUGGAAUAUUAAAGCAAACAACACUUCUUACUUGUAAAGAUGAACAAGAAGAUUAGAAGAAGAAGUUGGAGAGCUUUUGAAGCUUUGGAAAGCUAGGACACUUGAGCACUUGAAAGCUUGGAAGCUUGGAGGCAAAAACGUGUGGGCAAGUGUGGAGUGAAUGCUCUUGAGUUUGCUUGUAGUGUGGUAAGUGAAAAUGAGGGGUUUACCCUUCUAUUUAUAGCCUUGGCCACUCAAUGUCCACCCUUGGAUCUUCAAUGGAUGGCUCCUUGAUUUCUCACAUAAAUCCAAGCUUUGUCUUUGAUCUUAUCUUGAAUAGUGCUUUUAUUGGAUAGAGUUUGUUGGAGAAUCUUAUCUUUGUAUAAAUUCAAACUUGAAUAGUGUUUUGUCCCCUUGGAAUAUUAUACCUUGAAUAAAGUGUCAAAAGAUAAUAAUAAUAAUAUUCAAGGUAAAAAUGCAAUUAUUUCAAAUAAUAUUCAAGGUGAAAAUGCAAUUAUUCCAAAUAAUAAUAUUCAAGGUGAAAAUGCAAUUCUCCCAAUUUGACUUUUAACUUUGACUUAAACCCUUAACUCAAAUCAUUAAUUAAUUAACUGGAGUUAGGUUUAAUAUCGAUUGACUAUUUAACCCAUAUUGAUUAAUAGUGUAAUUAGGGUUUAAAUUGACAUGAUUAAAAUAUAAUCCUAUGUCGACAAUUUUGAUUCUACACUCGCAACCCCGCGAGCCUACUGGUAGCAGAUUUCGUGCUUCAUCAGGAACUAAAUUCCAGGUCUUGUUAUCAAUCAAAGCUUUAUAUUCUUCUUUCAUUUUUUGAAGCCAAUGCGGUGUUGCCAUGGCUUGUUUAUAGUUCUUAGGUGUAUCUUCUAAAUUUUUAACUACCUCUACCACCAAAGCCUUUGGUAGGUUAACUUCAAAAAUAUUAUAUUUUGUUGGAAAUUUUGAAGUUCUACCUCCUCUUCUUAGAUGAGUGUGUGUGUUAAACUCAUUUACUAAGUUUUGAGGUAUUGUUGUAACUACUGGUUGAGGUAUUGCUGUAGCUACAGGUUGAGGUAUUCUAGUGGCAGAUUCUUCUGUUUCCUAAAUUUCCGAAUGAUGACUUCUUCCUUCAUUUUCAGUUACAAUUGUUGGUGUUGUAGUGGGAAUCCUAGUGUUAUCACUUAUAUCUUCCGAGCCUUGAUUUUCUCUUGAAGUUCCUUGAAUGUCACUUAUUGUUCGAGAAUUCAGAGUUUGCGCAUUAUUGUUUAUUUUCAUGGGAAGUGGAAGUCUAAUGUUAUUUAGACUUGUUUUCUUAACCAUAUCAUUUAUAUCUGAUUUGAUCUUAUAGUCUUUGUAUGGAAAAGUAUCUUCAUGAAACUGGACAUUCCUGGAUAUUAUUAUCUUAGAAUCCUUAAGUCUAAAGCAUUUAUAUGCUUUAUGAGAUUGUGAAUAACCUAAGAAACAACAAUAACAAGAAGUUGAUUGAAACUUGUUUCUUAAAUGUAUAGGUAUGAGAGGAAAACAUUAGUGACCAAACACUCUAAGAUAUUUAAUAUCUGGUUCUCUAUCAUAUAACAAGGAAUAAGGUGAAUUAUAACCUAAUUUCUUGGAAGGUAAUCUAUUUAGAGUAUACACAGCUGCACUGCAAGCUUCUACCCAGUAGUCUUUUGGUAUUUCAGAGUGAAAGAAGAAACACCUUGCCAUUGACACAAGAUGUCCAUGUUUCCUUUCUACCAAACCAUUUUGUUCAGGAGUGAAUGGAGUAGACAAUCUGUGUUUAAUUCCAUGUUUCUUACACAAAUUACUAAAUUUAGCAUUCAAAAAUUCACCACCACAGUCUGAUUGUAUUGUUAUAAUUUUACACUCCAACGAGUUUUCAAUCAGUUUUUGGAAUUCUCUAAAUUUCUCAAAAACUUCAUCCUUAGUUUUUAAAGGAUAAAACCAUGAAAAUCUUGAAUAUUCAUCAACUAUAAGUAAAUAAUACUUACGACCAUGAAUUGAGGGAAUGGGGGCAGGACCCCAUACAUCCAUGUGAAUUACUCCUAAUGGCCUGUUGCUAUACUUUGUUUUAGAUUUAAAGGGCAAUUUUUUCAUUUUAUUCAUUGGACACACAACACAUUUUUCUUUGCAUUCACUUGUUUUAAUCUUAUGUAUUUUAAAUAGUUCAGAAAUUAUUUGAGAUGAUGGAUGCCCACAUCUCAUAUGCCAUAUGUUAUAUGGUAUUGUUAAAACAGAAGGAUGUGCAUUAUGUUUAACUAUUGAUACAUUACAUUUAAGACUAUCAUCCUGUUUAAACACACAAACCAUUUGAUCCAAUACCAUUUAAAAUCUGUUUUCCAGAUUUAUUGUUAUUUUCUGAAAACUUAUCACCCUUUAAUAUAACUUUACAAUCUAAAUCAUUAGACAUUGCUUGUAAAGAAAUCGAAUUCAUUUUUAAUUUUGGAACACAUAAAGCAUUUUUGAGUAUUAAAUCGCCAAAUUUAGAUUUAAUUUUCAAAUUUUCAAUAUGUGAUAUGUGUAAGCCUAAAUCAUUACCAAUUAUUAUAAAGGAUUUACCUGAGUACUCCUGAGUCUCUGAUAAAUUAUCGAGAUCAGGAGUCAUGUGAGCAGAUGCUCCGGAGUCUAAAAUCCAAUUCCCUUCUGAAGAAUCGUCAGUAACAACAACAGUUAGGGCUUUAAGAAUUUUUCUGCAGGUCUUAGCAGAAUGACCUGGUGUUUCACAGAUCUGACAAAUAAUAGAAGAAUUAGGAUUCUUAGAUCUCCUUCAUCGAUUCUUUGAUGAAUUAUUUCUUUUCUGAUUAGGGUUGGAAUUUUCUUUCUUGUUUUUAUACUCAGUUUUCUUGUAAUCAUUUGGGUCACCCCUGUAGUCAUUUCUGAAAUCACAUCCAGAACGAAAUUUUGCAGCAAAGGCAGCACCAGAAGCAUCAUCAGAUUUUGGGUUAAUUUGAAAAUGACGCUUUAGAAAUGCAUCUUCUCUAAUAAUCAGAUGAAUGAACUGUUCAAACAAAAGAUUCGGUUGUGAGUGGAUAGAUGACAUGAACGGGCGAUACUCAGCAGCCAAACCAUCACAAAUGAAAUCAAUCUUAUCUCUAUCUGCGAGAUGAUCACCCGCAGCAGUCAAACUGUCAAUAAGAGCAUGAACUUUAAUAACAUACUCCGCCAUGCUCUCGGAGUCAGAUUUCCUCAUCAUUCUAAGCUCAUCCCUUAAGCUUUGUGAGUGGCAAAUUUUUCUUGGCGAUAAGUGAAGAUCAAGGUUCUCCCAGCAGGCGCGUGCACUGUCAUGAUUUAACACAAGAGAGAACAUUGACGAGCCAACAGCAGCUUGAAUCCAUCCAAGAAUGAUGAAAUUCUUCUUUCUCCAGAUAUAAUAUAACGGAUUGUCACUUCCAUCAGGAUUCUUUUCUUCUGGUGUAACGGUCUUUGGAUCUAUAAUAUCAGACACAUCAUGAAUCUUAAAAAGAUUCUCCAUCUGAGAUUUCCAAAAGAGAUAUGUUCCACCACUCUCUAAAGGAACCCUGAUCCAGUGUGAUACAUUGCACUUAUGAAGUUCGUCAAAAUGGUUUGACAAUGAAGAGGAACCUUUACUAUAAACCAUUAUUAAGAAGCUAAUAUACAGAUCCGGAAGCCAGCGAUCGUUGAGAGAAGAAGAAAAAAUUGAAAUCACGGAAGCACAAAUCGGAAAAUGCUAAAAAAUCACAACUGCCAGGUCGUGUUCUGACAGAAAUCACAGAAAUAUCAAUUCUGCAAUUUCUUGACAGAUCGUGCAACUGAACUUGCCACAGAUCGUGCAAUUUCUCAAGGAGAUUGUCCCAAAUCGGCAACUGAAAUCGCCAAAACUGAUCAUACAACGAUUUCCACACUGACGGACAUGGACAGAUUGAAAUCGCCUGCUCAAAUCUUCUGCCCCAAAAUAAAAUCGCGGAAAGAUGAUCUGCUUAAAUCACACACAGAUCGCCGUGCUGAAAAAUUUCUGUGAAGAAGAAAUCGCCGCGAGUGGGAGAAGAAGAAGAGGAAGAUUCCUGUUAUCACCGUGCUGAAGAGAUCGGAUGGUCAAGAGGAGCUACAACUGAUACCAUGUUAAAUACUUCAACUCUUGGAUAUUCAGAUCAACGAUCAAGCAAACAAAGAACAAGAAAUGUAUUUCAUAGAAUGAAUUCAAAUCAAUAAUCCACAACGAUAUCUAUCUAGUAUUUAUAUCAUGACUUAACUAAUUAACCACUAAUACUAAUUAACUAGAGAGAAUAUCUAACUAUGGUUAACAAAGAUAAAGAGUGUAAUUAAUCUUGCUAACAGAGAGAACAUCUGAAAUAUUCAAAUGAUUUCCUAAAGUGGAACUUAAUGACAGAAAAGUUAAGACAUCUGAAAUCUACAUUCACAGGAACUCAAUGAAAUGCAGGAAGUAGAAUUAAAUGAAGAAUCACUGUAAAUGCUAUGAAAAUGAGAAUAUCAAUUGAAAAUAAGAAAUCAGAAUGAAAUAUGAAAAUUACUGGUUUGAUUAAAAAAUAGAAAAUAACCAAUUAAAAUAAUAAUCUGAGAAUGAAAGAAGAAAAUUACUGGUUCGAUUAGAAAAUAUUGAUUCUUGUUGUGAUUGUGUUCUCUGAUUGCGUUUUCGAUUCUUAUUUUGAUUACGUUUUCAGAUUUUUUUUGAACUCGAUUGGUUUUGAUCAGAAAUCGUUUUGAAAUCGGUUUGAAAUCGAUUGAUUGUUUAGGUUUUGAUCGCGAUCUGAUUUACUCGAUUGCGUUCAGAACUUGUUCGCGAUCAGUUUUUUUUUUGAACUUGUUCGUGAUCUACAUGGCGAUCUGAUCGAUUCGAUCAGGCACUCGUCUAUUCCCUAUUCGUGGAAAUCCCCGACAGAAGAAAGAGGUGUUGGCGAUCUGGAUAUUAUCGUAUUCCAUGGAUCCGCUUGUGAUCUGUUUGCGAUUUAAUUUCUGGGAAAUCGCGAUUUAAUUUCUCGUCGCUUGUGAUCUUGCGAUUCUUAUCUGAUUACUGAUUGCGAUCUCUCCUGAUUGAGAUCUACUAAUUUGGUGAUUAGUGAUUGCAAUUUUGAGGUGUGAUAUUUACUGAUUAGUGAUUGCGAAUUAUUCACAUUUGCAAUAUCACAUUACUGAAUAGUCAAUUUAAUUAGUGAUUACUGUUAUGUUCAGAUUUUUUUUUUAAUUCAGAAAAUGUAAUAUCACAUUUGCUUUGCAGGUUUAUGCUAAUAUUGAAGAAAUAUUCUUUGUCUGCAUAUACUAUAUUCUCCUCUGUUUUUUUUUAUUACUGAUUGAAUUUUUUCUCUCCUCUGUUUUGAUUACUGAUAUAAUCAAAUUGUGCAGAUGAAUGCUGAUUACUGAUAUAAUAAAUUUGGUAAUCAAAUUUAUUAUUCAUGAAUGCUAGCUACCAUGAAGAAAAAUCUAGAAAAUGUUCAAGCUAGGAUGAAGCAUCAAGUUGACAAGAGUAGAUCUGAUGUUGUGUAUGAAGAUGAAACAUGGGUACUGGUUAAAUUACAACACUACAGACCGACCACAGUAGCUAACAUAACUCAUAAUAAGCUAUGCCAAAAAUACUUCGGCCCCUAUGAAAUAAAGAGGAAAAUCAACAGAGCUGCUUAUAAAAUCAGAUUACCUCAAGGCAGAAAAAUACAUGAUACAUUUCAUGUUUUCAGAUUGAAGAAAUCUUAUGAAUCAGAUUACCUAAAGGCAGAAAAAUACACGAUACAUUUCAUGUUUUCAGAUUGAAGAAAUUUUAUGGCCCGCCCAAUUCCUGAAAACCAGCCUACAAAUGAUAUCAUGGUUUAAGUUAGCAAUAAACCAAUUAUCUAUCCUAUAGCAGUACUGGAUACAAGAAUGAGUGGACAGGAUAACAAAAGAAAGGUUUCCCCAGAAUUGUUCAAAAGAUGCAAAAAAAUUAAAGCACACUGCGUUUUUAUUACAUCUUAGCUAAACUACACUGCAGAUUUCAGACACUACAACAGUUAUAUAUAGUUAGAGUCAAUCUAGAGUUAAUAGUACAUUAGCUGUUAUAAUAAGUAAUAUAGUUAAUUAGUUAGUUUAGAUUUUUUAGUUACAGGCAAUAGACCUUUGUUAUAAAUAAUGUAUGACUAGUUGUUUAGAAGUAAUUUUCAUUCUUGAUUCUACUACCCAUGAAGAUGUUGAUGAUUGAAUACUACCCAUGAAGAGUGGAUCAAGAUGUUGAUGAUUGAAUAGUAUCCCAUGAAGUUUGAAAUAUCACAAAACAUCACCAUCUCCUCCAAACAAUCAGCCAGAAGACAACUUAUCAUUAUAGCCAUUAGUUUGAAUAUGAAUAGAUCGAAAUAAUGUGUUUUUAUGACUAAUUGAGACCAUUUUUUGGAUACUACUAGGGCGUCAAAUAAAGCCCGGCUCGGGCUCGCGAGCCCUAGCCUCUAGCUCGUUAAGCUCGAUGGGCUCGGUAAGGAUUAUAAAAAAUUAAAAAAAUAUUAAACUUAGAGAGAAUAGAUGUGUAGUAUAGUUGGUAAAAGGUUUGUUUAAUAUUUGAAAAGUCAUAGGUUCGAUCUUUCAUGUCUACAAAUAAUUAUUUUUUUAAUUCGAGUCCAGAAAGUAUAAAAAACUAAAAAAAUAUUAAAUUUAGAGAGAAUGGAGGUGUAGCGCAGAUAAUAAAUCAUUUGUUAAGCAUGUGAGAGGUCACGGGUUCGAUCCUCCAUGUGAGAGCUCGCGGGCUUGAGCCUGAGUCCGAGCUUGGAAAAUAUCUGACGAGCCGAGCCUGAGCCCGAGCUUGGAAAAUAUCUGAUGAGCCGAGCUUGAGCCCGAGCUUGGAAAAUAUCUGCCGAGCCGAGCCUGAGCCCGAGUCCAUAUGAUAUCUCAACGAGCCCAAGUCCGGUUCUAUAAGCAAAAGCUCGGCUCAGCUCGUUUGACACCCUAGAUACUACCAUCGAUAUCCAAAUGUAAGUGUUCCAAUUUUUUGAAAUAUAUUUGACAAAAUAGACGAAUCAAACCAUUUUCAAACUUGAUGGAUAAUGUAUAUACAGAUUUUCCAUCAUUUGAUAAUGCGACUCAUUUUCGUAUUUUAUCUUUUUUUCUCAUAACCUAUGGUAUUCGUGACGACCCAUAUCCAGGCAACGUUGCUUGGAUAAUAGUGAAAUAAUGAAUAAUGCAAAAUAUUUAGUUUACUCGAAUAAAUCCAGGCUAACUAAUUUGUAAUAACACACAAGUACCAUAAAUAUUAACCACUAAAUUAAAAGAAAACUAAAUAAACUACUUUUUUUUUAUAAUUUUUUCCAUUGACCAUAAUUCCAGGCAACGUGGGUAACUUUCCACUAACAGAGUAACCACUCACUAAUAAGAUCGUACAAUAAUCAUCCAUUGCCGCCCGUGAUCGUCGUCGAGGCCAUUUGUGGGGAAGCUCCUCCCUAGCACACACCUCUCCCUAUCCUUGGCUUUUGCGACUUUUUGGUUAUUCACAGACACAGGUUCGUUGUUCGACUCUCCGCCAACAAUUGUUUGAGUCGGCCGAGGAAAGGCUUGAGAAUCUUCAUUUUGCCACACACUAUGAGAAUCUUCAUUUUAAAGAAAGUCCAGCUAGCUGAUCUACGGGAGUAUUUUGUUGUUGCUGCUGGACAACGUUUCUGAGCACUUCCAUUGCUUCACCAACCUUUGCUUUUAGUGCCUCGGGUGAUUCCAGCAAGUGCAGAACUUCAGUUUGGUCCAUCUCAAGAAGCAUUCCAGUAACCUUAGCAACCAUAUCAUGCUCAAUUUGAUCAACAAGUGGGUACAAACUUUCUCUAAGCAUCUACAAAACAAAACAAAAAAUUAUAUUGAAAACUAGAACAAAAAACUUCAAUAAAUAUAUAAAAGACUUGUAAUGUAUAAUAUCCUCUGCAGAUCAGUAGGAGCGUUAGCAAGGGAUGAAUCCAGUGCUGAGAUAGGUAUAGGCUGUGAUAUAGCGGCAUCUCUUCCAGGAAAACCACCCAUGUCAAAUGGAGAAGAAAGCAUGCCACAACUUGUACCAAGAAUCGGCAUAUCAGGUAUGUUUCUUCCAGGUGGGAAACGAUACAUCCUUCCAUCACCCCUUGGAAACAUCUGCAAAACAGAAGACAGAAAGAAUGAAAUCAAGAAUGAACUCUCAUAGAAAACAAGAUAAAGAGUAAAAAAAAUAUAAGCCAGAAAACCUGUUGCUGAACCAUCGGCAUUGGUUGCAUGGGUCUUCCUGGUUCAGUACGCCUACCACCUCCGGGCCUUGGCCAAAAUAGAGCACCUCCAAGCCUCAUACCAAGAAUAAGUGGUUGUUGAUAACCAAAACCAGGCUAAAAAAAUAUCAGCACAUUAGACUCAGAAAAUCUUACAGCAUUGGAAGCCUCUUCAACGGUUGAGAAAGCAACAAAACCAGAGCCUCUACUAACUCCAUUACUAUCGACAAUGAUUCUUAUCGACGGUCUUCUUAAUAUUCUGCUCAUAUUUAGCCUUCAGUUCUUGCUCCCUUUCAGAUUUCUUUAGAGCCUUAUCAACAUACCACUCCUUGUCAACAAAUUUUUUCCCAUUAAGAGAAUCAACAUCAUUUGCAGCAUCUUUAGAAUUAUCGAAAUUGACAAAACCAAAACAUUUCGACUUUCCAUCACCUUCUCUCAUCACAACAGCACUUGUGAUUUGUCCAAAUUCACUAAAAACUUUUUUCAGGUCAUCUUGAGUCAUUGUUCGAGAAAAAUUCUUAACAAAAACAUUGUUAAAUUUCACAUUGUAUGGGGGGGGGUUAUUAUCUCUAUCCUGCUUGCGCAAAAAUGGACCUACAAACACUUUCUUACCAUUAAGUAGUAUUCCAUUUAGCUUUUCUAUAGCAAAUUGUGCAGAAUCUUUUCUUCGAAUUGGGCUUAAUAACUACUGAUAAAUAUAAUCACUACCUGUUAGAGUAACUACUUUGUUAGUAACUACUUUCCUAUAAUAUCUAAAUAAACGGAAGUAGUUAUAGAAUAUUACUAGAGUAAUAAAUUGUAUAAAUAGAUAUGACUAUCAAACAUAAAGGUGAUCGAGUUUGGUUUUCUCAUUUGAUACAUUUCAAUUGACUAUUACGGGAUUGACGAUGUUAAAACAUGCGAGAAUGUCGACAGAAUAUUGGGAUUACGUGUUUAUGACAGCAGUACAUUUAUAUAACAGAAAUCCAACCGUAAUUCUUGAUUACAAGUCACCGUAUGAAGCAUUGUUCAAACAACUCCAGAAUACAACAGAUUGCAUGUUUUUGGAGCAAAGUGCUUCCCAAAUCUUCGUCCGUAUAGAAACAACAAACUCCAAGACAAAUCUGAACCAUGUUUAUUUAUGUGAUAUCCGGUAAAUUCAAAUGGAUAUAUUUGUAUGAGUGCAGGUGACGGAAGAAUUAUCAUAUCACGCGAUGUAAUAUUCAUUGAUGAUAAUUUCUUAUUAAGGAAAUCAGAUGACAAAUGCAACGAUAAGGGAAAUGAACCUGAUGAGGAGAGCUGUUUAAUUGAAGAAUAUGUACCCAAAGAUGGUCAAAAUUUCCAAAGCACGGGCUGCUGCAAAAUAAAAUUGUAAAACAAUUUAAAGAUACUAGAAUAACAAUAACAUUAGUAAAACAUUUUAUAAACAAUGAAAAAAACAAACAAGAAUAAAAAAUAUCUUGGAAUAUAUCUAAAUAUAAAAAAACAAUCAACAAGAAUCGAUUUGAAUGAAAUUAUUACCACACAUAAUUUAUUUGUUAUGAGAACAGAAAAAGGUAAAAAAAAACGAUAAAAUAGUAACAAUUUAAAAAGCAAGUCUGAUUGAAAUAUAUAUGAUAGCAAAAAAUAUAGGUUAUUUUUAAUAAAACGAGUGAGUAUAUGCAAUAAAUAGAUGAUGAAAAAGAAGAGAAUACCCUCCGGAGGAUGGUUGUAAUUGACAUAUAUGCAUACCCAAGAGACCUUCUGUAAGGCUCUACAGACCCUUACAGAAACGACCUAUCUGAGCAGACUGAAUAGGUCAAAAACUUACAAAUCAGUUACUGUGGGAUCUAAAUCUCCGACAUAUAGAGAUGUUAGACUGUGAAAGGGAGCACCAGCAGUAGUUUCAAAGUAUCAAACAGCAAAAUAACCUGGUUUGUAGACUUCAGAAGAGCUUGUAUGGGUUGAAGCAAGCACCUCGAAGUGGUACAAGAAAUUUGAUAGCUAUCUCAGUGUCAUAGGCUUCAAGAGGUGUGACACGGAUUCCUGUUGCUACAGAAAGCAAUUGACCGAUUUCUAUAUUAUUCUUGUCGUUUAUGUUGAUAUGCUCAUUACUAGUGCAAACAUGAAAGAGAUAAAUCAUCUGAAGAAACAACUUUCAAAGGAAUUUGAGAUGAAAGAUCUGGGAGCAGCGAUUUUGGACAUGAGGAUCAUCCGGGAUGAGUCCUCAGGAAUUCUGAAACUGGGUCAACAAAGGUACAUUGAAAAGGUUCUUGAGAAGUUCAGCUUUGCAAACGAAUCGAAUUCGAAUAUCCGGAUAUUAAACGAAUUCGAAUUCGAAUAUGAUGGUAUUCGGUUCGUUUACAUGCCUAGUGUUAUAAAAGAUGACUGAGUUUUGCACUUUCUCCUUCUCCUGAUUUCUUCAAAAAUAAUCAGGUCCCUAAUAUCAUUCCACUUAAGCUUUCCAUGACCAAUAGAGCUGCUCACACUUGUAGCAACUUGUUCCCGACUUUCUGGUAGAGAUGAUAACAAAAUAAGUGCUCUAAGUUCAUCGUCAAUGUUGAUAUCCACAGAGGACAACUGUGUCAACAACACAUUUACUUGAUUCACAUGAUCAACAACAUUUGCUUCUUCACUCAUCUUGAGAUUGAACAAAUUACGCAUCAGAAAAACUGUUUGUUGCUGUAGGCUUUUGAUACAUAUUCGUCAAGGUUUCCAACACCUCUAUUGUCGUGGUGCACUUGGAGAUGUUGAAGGCAACGUUCUUAGCCAAGGUGGGUCUAAUAAGGCUAAUAGCUUUUCUGUCGAGAAGCUUCCAAUCUUCAUCACUCAUAUCUGCCGGUCUUGUGCCCAACAUCGGAGCAUGAAGGUUCUUUGCAUAAAGGUAGUCCUCUAUUUGCAUUUUCCAAUAUGCAAAAUCGCUCCCUUCAAACCUAUCGACCCUAUGCUUUAUUUCAUCUACUAUUUCAAACACAACUACUGCUCUGGAAAGUCUGGAUACACGUCGAUAGGGGGUUUACAAACCCUAACCAGGAAAGCCACGAUCUGAAAAACCAAAAAAAACAAAAAACCACCGACCAAAAAAAAGAAACUGACAGACCAAGAGGAUUCCUGGUCUGAAAAAAAGAAACUAAAUACACCGACCAGGAAGAAGAACUAUGAUCUGAAAGCCAUAGACACGUUGACCAGAUGACCAGGAAUAUCCGCCGACUGGAAGACAGCGGAACGCCGGUCUGGAAAACCUUCCCUUUGAAAAAAAAAUCGAUAUGGAAAUACCCGCCGGCUGGAAGACAGAGGAACGUAGGUCUGGAAACCCUCCCUCAAAAAAAACCUCGAUCUGGAAAUCAGGAAACACGUCAACUUUUGCUCUUCUCUCUUCGAUUUUAAUCCAACCUCGCUCUGAUACCAAUUGAUAGGAUCGAUACCUAAAUCGAACUGAGAAAACCGAGCGAAAACAAACACAAUACACAGAAUUUACGUUGUUCGGCAAUGUGCCUACGUCCACGGGGGUGUCUCCAUUCUUCUUCUUUUUCUCUCAAAAAGAGUACAAGUAAUUAUAAGAUACUUAUAUGGGUGAUUAGGGUUGUCGUUUUGUGUUUGUAACUCCUAAUCUCUAUUACAAGGCUUAAAGCCCAUUUAACAGAAUUAAUCAUAUUUUAAUUCUAAUGCUCAUAAAAGACCUACAUUAAUUCUAAUUAUAAUUAAUGCCCUUCUAAAAAACGUCUCAACACUCUAACUAAUGGAGCAAUUAAUCAAUUGAAAUGAAACAAUACCUCAAGAUAUCGUGGAUGAUAAAAAAUCUGAAAUUCCAACACUUCAGUUUCAGCAAGAAAAGAUCUAUUGGAAUCCACCAAUAGCUCCACUAGAAUCCAUUAGUAGAAUAGGAAAAAUCAGAUAGGAGUCCACCUGAUCCGAUGAAGAAUAAGCAAGAAUCUCAAGAGUUUUUUUGAGAAAAACGUAGGAGAGAGAAAAGUAGAGUAAUUUCACCUUUGGAAAAUAUAUGCUACGGGUUUGAGUCCACUCCUAUUUAUACUCCCAAUGUAUAAGAGUGGAAAUUCCACAUUGGGAGUUGGACAGUCCAAUUAAAGAGACUGAGCCAUGGCUCGAGUUAACUCGAGCCAAUGACCUUGUAGAUCAUUGUAAUGGGCUACAUCACUAACAAAUUCAACAUUUCCAACACCUUCAAUAUCUCAGAUCUACAAACCUACUAUCCACUGGAUGAAGGACCGGUUUACGGACAUUCGAGGUCGACUGUCGCCGCAGUGGAGGCGCUUGAUGAAGGAGCUGUAGGGAAGUCAACGCAGCCCACGGCGUAACAGCAAAUGGGUAAGUUAGGAACGACUAACUGACCGAACGGCGACGUCAUUAAUUAUAAAAAUUGGAGGCUGCAAGGACUUCGGGGAAGAUGUUUUGCUUACCUCAAGGUACUACCUCUUCACUGCUCUCUCAGUUUCGUUCCUUCGUCUUCUCUAAUUUCUAUGGUGGAAUCCAGAUUCUAUCAACCGGUGGAUUCCGGCUCGGCGACGUGAUCUGUUCGGCGUCUCUCUAUCGCAACUCUGUCAAGUUGCCCGUGUGUAAAUCUGCAAUUACAUAUUCUAUGUUAAAUGAGUCUUGGGCCAUUAUGAUCCAUUACAAUUAAAUAGGUUUAAUUCUAUGUUAAAUGAGUCUUGGGCCUUGUAAUGAUGAUUAGGAGUUGCAAACAUAAAUCGGCAACACUAAUCAUCAUUAUAAAUAUCUUUUAAUGCUUCUAUUCUGUUGUGAGGGAGAAAGAAGAAUAGCUGAGGCACCCCGUGGACUUAAGCACAUUGUUGAACCACGUAAAUCUGUGUUUUCUUUUUCUCAAUUCGAUUUUAGGGUUCUUCUUAUCAUACUUCCAUUCAUCUGGACAAGUUGAAUUCCAGAGAGAAGUCCCAGCGAAACAGAGCCAGAGCAACUGAAGAGUUUGAGUUGAUUUUCGCGUGCAGCUUUCAACUUGACGCUUGUUUAAAGCGUCUUCGAGCAUUGAUCGGAUUCCACCCUCAUCAGUUAUGAUGGGAUAAAAAAUAUCAUUAUUUACUACGAAAAGAUGAUAAAUACCAUUCAGAUCCAAUAUACAAAAAAUGGACAGGGCCAUGGUUCCGGAUGCACGCGCAUAUGCGCAGAUGCGACCUCCCUUAGCCGGAUCCGGUCAUGAAUUAAAAAAAAACUGGCCAAAAAAAAAAAAUUUAAGUCCGAAAAAAUAUUUUAAGGUCAAAAAUUUAUUUUUAUGCCAAAAAUUUAUACAUUGGUCCAUGAAAAGAGCUAUAUUAUUUUUAAUAUAAGCUCCUCCCACUCUUAAGACUUCAUAUUUGUUUUAGACAAAAUGAAUCUUUAUUUAUAAACCAACCUUCUUUGUGUUUUUUGAAUUCUAUCGAUGUUAGACUAAAAAAGUGUAGUUAAAUAAAUUAUAAAGUAUUCUUUGUACUUUUUGAAUUCUAUCAAUGUGGUAUAAAUAAAGUGUACAUGUAUUAAAUAAAUUAUAGUGUUAUAUGCAUUUUUUAUAUCCUAUCAAUAUAGGACUAAAUAAAAUAUACAUGUGUUAAAUAAAUUAUAGUGUUACAAUGAAUUAUAGGGUGUUAUAAUAAUUAAUAAAUAUAUGUAUUAUAAUAAUUUUUCUAUCCUGAAAGUCUCCCCAAAGCAGAGGGAGGCUUAGGGGUCAGAAACCUAGGAAUCAUAGUACCUGCCAUAAAUAUCAAAAGAAUUACAAACUUCUGGACAAAAUCAGACUCAAUCUUUAACACAUGGAUCCAAGAGAGAUACAUAAAAGGACGAGCCCUCACAAACAUCCUUGUCAGGACCAUCAUUGACUCCCAUUUUUGGAAAUAUGUAAUGGCAGACAACCCCAAUGCUAUUGCACUAGUUGAAUGUAGGGCCAAUUAUACAACCCUUUGGAAAAAUGGAAACCCAAUCAGAAAACUUGCAGCAAUAUGUGAGGAGAUCAGGGAUAAAAUCCAUAAGGAUAGCCUAGCUGAAGGAAUAUGGACUCAUAAACCCACAAAGUUUUCCAUUUUCUAUGGAGGAUAAAGUGGGCACACCUAAACACCUUUAUCAAACUAAAUGGAUGGGGUAUGCCAAUCCAGCCCACAUGUUUAUUAUGCAAUAUGGAGAAUGAAUCCAGAGCCCACCUAUUUUUCAAUUUUUCCUACUCUAGAGCCAUCCUGCUUCCCCUGGUUAAAAACUUAAAUAACAUUUUCUGGAAGAUACUAAAAAUACCCACUCCCACCACCACUCACCCAGAUAUUAGAAUAGGGGACCUAACCGAGGAAUGUCAAAGGCUGCCACAUCACUCUCCAAUUUGGGGAAGCACCCAUGAAGGAAGAUAGUUCAGAUGAUGAGUAUGAUGAUGAAGCAUCUCCAGAUGAAGGAGAGAGAUUUUCAUGCAUAAUCCAGAGAAUAUGCCACACACCUCAACAAGAGCUGCAAAGUCAGAGGAAUAAUUUAUUCAGGACUAGAGGCACAAUUAAAGGAAGGGUCUGUGAUAUUAUAAUAGAUAACGGAUCAACUGGUAAUCUGAUUUCGUGGAAUGCAGUGAAAAAAUUAGGUUUAGAGGUGGAGGAACACAAAAACCCUUACAGUGUAUGGUGGAUUCACAGUGGGAAUUCAGUAGCUGUGGAUAAAAGUUACAGUAUUUGCAUUUUCCGUACUUUAAUAGAGAUCAAAACACAUUCUAUGAUUGAGAUCUGCUGAGUUACUAAUAUUGCAUUUUGAUUUAUUGUGUCAUUUGAAUGAAAGCUGACAGUAUAACAAAAGUAAAAUACAUGUGACCAUGGGGAUAUCAACGGGAAGUAAUGAUGUUUAAUCAUAAUGGCUACAACUGUAUUAAAAAAAUCGUUAUCUAAUAUGGAACAAUGAUAGAUUCAGUUGGUGUUCAAUAUACAAAAAAUGAACAGCUUGUGUGGACUGAUAAAAUUGAUAAAAAAAGCAGCAAUAACAACCAUAAAGAGGCCAGAUCUCAUCAAUAUUGUCUUUUAUUAUAUCACUGGGCACUAAAAGUAUGAAUUAUUGUUUCAUAAAUCAAUUUAAUAGGGAUGAAAAUAUUUAUGUAUGCUAUAGAAGUUAGGAGUUCGAUAUAUAGAAGUAUAGAAUUUAUGUAUUGACAUGAUCACAUGAAUCCAUGGCUAUAUAUGCCAGGGUCAGCCAUUAAAGAAAGCAACAAUGUUUUACAUAUUCUGUUAUGCUUUUUAGCCUUACUACCUGUAUUUAAUUUCUCUAUAAUUCUACUCGAGCUAUGCCCACCCAUUUUAUUUUCAGCAAUGAAAUUUUCAAUUCAUUGGAAAAAUAUGAUCACAUGAAGAUACCAAUUAUUUAUCAUUAACAAAAUCAUUUUUUCUUUCAAACAUUUUCUCAUACAGUUAAAACUUUUCAAUAAAAUAAGGACCAAACCUAGCUUACAUGAUAGAUUGGGAGAUGAGCAAUUGAGCAUGGUCACAAACUCACCACCUUGAUCCUAUUGAUUGAAGCCGCAAAAUAUAGAAUUCCCAUUAAAUUAUAUCAUUGACCUUAAUCCGAUUCAGAUUGGGUUUUGGUUAUCAAAAUAGAUUGUAACAUCCUUAGUAUUAGUGCAAAGAAACGAUUAAAGUUAAUUACAUAUAUUUGUUAGUUGUUGACUUUAUAGAUAUGCUCUAAUCUCUAUCAAAAAAUUAAAGGGUAUAGAGGUGUAAUAACAUUAUGUGUGUGUGUUUACACUGGCAAUAACAACCUCAUUUGUUAUUCUAAUUUCUAGAUCUAGCCCACCAUCAAUCUACCUUCACUCAUCAACACUUAGAGAUAUGCUUGCUUGGCGAGUUCUUUCGGAGGUCUGAGGAUGAAUUGCUUGGAUCUUCCGUUUCUCUCACACCAGAUGUUUCAAGCUAGUGAGCCAAGAAUUGCUCAUUACAACUCCAACAGCUAGAGUGUUUGCUGAACUUUUCUAUCCCCUAUUCCUCUCAAUGAUGUCCUCAUUACUGUCCUGUGGGGUAGGAUGUUAAGUUUUAUCCAAAUAGUUGAAUAUAGAUGGUUUUGGAUGAGGUUGAUAUAGGAUCUUCCGAACAUAAGACACAUGAUAAUCCUCCUACUCGAACCUUAAAUAACGGUGAUUCCUUAUCCGAAAAAAUCAUCUCGAAAUAUCUGAAACCAUCUCGGGUUAUGUCUUGUGAUAAAAACGUACUAUGUUUGAUAUGUCAGGUAUUUUGAUUUCUUCAUUAACCUCAAAUGAAUAUCUACAUGAGUGUUUAUAUCAAUUGAAAAACAAGUAAUGACUAACAAAACUAACUAUCUAUUUAGUUAACUAACUAAUAUAAGCAGUGAAUCAAUCUUAUUUUCUCUGAACCAAUGAAUGAAUCACUAAUCUUAAUUGACAUUAUCUUCAGGAAUAUUUUGAGAUGAUGAGAAGGUCGGAAGAUUGUAUUGUGACCAUAAGUUCCACUUCAGUUGCAUAAAGAGUUGGUUGAUUAUAUAGAAUAAAUGUGUCCCAACUGUAGAGCGAGUGCGAUCGGCCUUUUAAAUUCACUGUGAGGUUUAUGUUAAAAGAUAGAGUAGUGAAACAUGGUUUUUUCGAAUGUACUUGACUUUAUUGACCAAUCGAUGACGAUCUUAGAUGAUCGUACGAAAAUUGUAUUCAAUCGAUCAGUAUUUUGCAUGAAUGUAAAUGAUGAUUAUAAUGUUCAUUUAUAGUGAUGAGUAAGUUACACAACAACAACUAUUUAGUUAGUUAUGUUACUUAUGUAAAUGGAUUAGCUUUGCCAAAUCCGUAACACCCUCUCUCAAGUGGAGCGGGUGUUCUGUGGAACUCUGAUACCAUAUUGACUAAUCGAUGAUGAUCGGAGAUAAUCGUAGAUUGUAUUCAAUCAAUCUGUAUUUUGCAUGAAUGUAAAUGAUGAUUAGAAUGUUUACUUAUAGUGAUGAGUGAUGAGUUAGUUACACUAUAAUAACUAUUUAGCGAGUUAUGUUACUUAUGUAAACGCAUUAGCUUUGCCUAAUCUGUAACAAACUUAAUUCUUCUCUUUAGAUUAACCUGUGAGUUUAAUUAGGAUUGUAAUAGUAGUGAUUAGUAUAAGCUAAAUUGCAUGUAUUGAUUGUCUAAAGUUUGUAAAUUUUCUAUGAAGUCUUUUACUGAUUGUGAAUUCUGAUAAAUUCUUUUUAGUGGAAGAGAAAUUUAUUUUGAAUCUUUUUUAUAAUUAAACUCGUCUCAUAAAAUGUUGACGUCGAGAUUAAUUAGCAAAAUCUAAUGUAUUGUAUUUAAAUCGCCGUACUGUUCUCAGACCACUGUAAUGUACUGAAGUUCCAUCGAGCCGGCAGACCUGCUUUCACCAUAUCGACGGUCAGGUAAGGUUAAUUACUUAAUUAAUACUCUAUUUCUUUUGUUAUAGUUGGUUUUAGACGAAAUCGAUGCAGAAUCAAUCGGAUUGAUGAUACCCAAUCGCUCUUCUACUCCAACCUCAAUUUUAGACUAGCUUUAAAGUUUUUCCUAAUGACUUAACUUUCAUAAAUACAAUUUUUUUGACCAUGAAACUAUAAAAGUGAAAGGUUGGUUGAUUAAUGCUGUUUUUUUUUUCUUAUAUCAUAGAUCAUAGAUGGUUUUGGAUGAGGUUGAUAUAGGAUCUUCCGAAUAUACGAUACAUGAUAAUCCUCCUACUCGAACUUUAAAUAACGGUGAUUCCUUAUGAUUCCUUAUCAGAAUAAAUCAUCUCGAAAUAUCUGAAACCAUCUCGAGUUAUGUCUUGUGAUAAAAACGUACUAUCUUCGAUAUGUCAGGUAUUUUGAUUUAUUCAUUAACCUCAAACGAAUGUUUACAUGAGUAUUUAUAGCAAAUGAAAAACAAGUAAUGACUAACAAAACUAACGAUCUAUUUAGUUAACUAACUAAUACAAGCAAUGACAGUUAUUUUCUCUGAACCAAUGAAUGAAUCUCUAAUCUUAAUUGACAUUUUUUUCAGGAAUCUUUUGAAGAUGAUGAGAAUGUCGGCAGAUUGGAUUGUGACCAUGAGUUCCACUUCAGUUGCAUAAAGAGUUGGUUGAUUAUACAGAAUAAAUGUCCCAACUGUAGAUCAAGUGCGAUCGGUCUUUUAAAUUCACUGUAAGGUUUAUGUUAAAAGAUAGAGCUGUGAAGCAUGGUUCUUUCGAAUGUAAAUGACUUUAUUGACCAAUCUAUGAUGAUCUGAGAUUAUCAGAGAUGAUCAUACAUAGAUUGCAUUCAAUCAAUCUGUAUUUUGUAUGAAUGUAAAUGAUGAUCACAAUGUUUAUUUAUAGUGAUUAGUGAUGAGUUAGUUACACUACAACAACUAUUUAGUUAGUUAUGUUACUUAUGUAAAUAGAUUAGCUUUGCCUAAUCCGUAACACCCCCCUUCAAGUGGAGCGGGAGUUCUGUGGAACUCUGAUACCAUAUUGACCAAUCGAUGAUGAUCGGAGAUGAUCGUAGAUUUUAUUCAAUCAAUCUGUAUUUUGCAUGAAUGUAAAUGAUGAUUACAAUGUUUAUUUAUAGUGAUGAGUUAAUUACACUACAAUAACUAUUUAGUUAGUUAUCUUACUUAUGUAAAUGGAUUAGUUUUGCCUAAUCCGUAACAGACUUAAUUCUUCUUUUUAGAUUAACUUGUGAUUUAAUCAGGGUUGUAAUAGUAGUGAUUAGUAUAAGCUAAAUUGCAUGUACGGAUUGUCUAAAGUUUGUAAAUUUUCUAUGAAGUCAUUUGCUGAUUGUGAAUUCUUAUAAAAUUCUUUUUAGUGGAAGAGAAAUUUAUUUUUAAUCUUCUUUAUAAUUAAACUCGUCUCAUAAAAUGUUGACGUCAGGAUUAUUUAGCAAAAUCUAAUGUAUUGUAUUUAAAUCGUCGUACUGUUCUCAGACCACUGUAUUGUACUGAGGUUCCAUCGAGCCGACAGACCUCCUUUCACCAUAUCGGUGGUCAUGUAAGGUUAAUUAUUACUUAAUUAAUACUCUAUUUCUUUUGUUAUAGCUGGUUUUAGACGAAAUUGAUGCAUAAUCAAUCGGAUUGAUGGUACCCAAUCACUCUUCUACUCCAACCUCCAUUUUAGACUAGCUUUAAAGUUUUUCCUAAUGACUUAACUUUCAUAAAUACAAUUUUUGUGACCAUGAAACUAUAAAAGUGAAAGGUUGGUUGAUUAAUCCUGUUUUUUUUUCUUAUAUCACAGAUAGUUUUGGAUGAGGAUGAUAUAGGAUCUUCCGAACAUACGAGACAUGAUAAUUCUUCUACUCGAACCUUAAAUAACGGAAAUUCUGUAUCAGAAAAAAUCAUCUCAAAAUAUCUGAAACCAUCUCAAGUUAUGUCUUGUGAUAAAAACGUACUAUGUUCGAUAUGUCAUGUAUUUUGAUUUAUUCAUUAACCUCAAAUGAAUGUUUACAUAAUUAUUUAUAGCAAUUGAAAAACAAGUAAUGACUAACAAAACUAACUAUCUAUUUAGUUAACUACCUAAUACAAGCAAUGACAGUUAUUUUCACUGAACCAAUGAAUGAAUCUCUAAUCUUAAUUGACAUUUUUUUCAGGAAUCUUUUGAAGAUGAUGAGAAUGUCGGCAGAUUGGAUUGUGACCAUGAGUUCCACUUCAGUUGCAUAAAGAGUUGGUUGAUUAUACAGAAUAAAUGUCCCAACUGUAGAUCAAGUGCGAUCGGACUUUUAAAUUCACUGUAAGGUUUAUGUUAAAAGAUAGAGCAGUGAAGCAUGGUUCUUUCGAAUGUACUUGACUUUAUUGACCAAUCUAUGAUGAUCUGAGAUGAUCAGAGAUGAUCGUACAUAGAUUGCAUUCAAUCAAUUUGUAUUUUGUAUGAAUGUAAAUGAUGAUUAUAAUGUUUAUUUAUAGUGAUUAGUGAUGAGUUAGUUACACUACAACAACUAUUUAGUUAGUUAUGUUACUUAUGUAAAUAGAUUAGCUUUGCCUAAUCCGUAACACCCCCCUUCAAGUGGAGCGGGAGUUCUGUGGAGCUCUGAUACCAUAUUGACCAAUCGAUGAUGAUUGGAGAUGAUCGUAGAUUUUAUUCAAUCAAUCUGUAUUUUGCAUGAAUGUAAAUGAUGAUUACAAUGUUUAUUUAUAGUGAUGAGUAAUAAGUUAGUUACACAACCAUAACUAUUUAGUUAGUUAUCUUACUUAUGUUAAUGGAUUAGCUUUGCCUAAUCCGUAACAGCCUUAAGUCUUCUCUUUAGAUUAACCUGUGAUUUAAUCAGGGUUGUAAUAGUAGUGAUUAGUAAAAGCUAAAUUGCAUGUACCGAUUGUCCAAAGUUUGUAAAUUUUCUAUGAAGUCAUUUCCUGAUUGUAAAUUCUCAUAAAAUUCUUUUUAGUGGAAGAGAAAUUUAUUUUUAAUCUUCUUUAUAAUUAAACUCGUCUCAUAAAAUGUUGACGUCAGGAUUAUUUAGCAAAAUCUAAUGUAUUGUAUUUAAAUCGUCGUACUGUUCUCAGGCCACUGUAUUAUACUGAGGUUCCAUCGAGCCGGCAGACCUCCUUUCACCAUAUCGGUGGUCAUGUAAGGUUAAUUAUUACUGAAUUAAUACUCUAUUUCUUUUGUUAUAGCUGGUUUUAGACGAAAUUGAUGCAUAAUCAAUCGGAUUGAUGGUACCCAAUCACUCUUCUACUCCAAUCUUCAUUUUAGACUGGCUUUAAAGUUUUUCCUAAUGACUUAACUUUCAUAAAUACAAUUUUUUUGACCAUGAAACUAUAAAAGUGAAAGGUUGGUUGAUUAAUCCUGUUUUUUUUUCUUAUAUCACAGAUAGUUUUGGAUGAGNNNNNNNNNNNNNNNNNNNNNNNNNNNNNNNNNNNNNNNNNNNNNNNNNNNNNNNNNNNNNNNNNNNNNNNNNNNNNNNNNNNNNNNNNNNNNNNNNNNNGGUGAUUCCUUAUGAUUCCUUAUCAGAAUAAAUCAUCUCGAAAUAUCUGAAACCAUCUCGAGUUAUGUCUUGUGAUAAAAACGUACUAUCUUCGAUAUGUCAGGUAUUUUGAUUUAUUCAUUAACCUCAAACGAAUGUUUACAUGAGUAUUUAUAGCAAUUGAUAAACAAGAAGUGACUAACAAAACUGACUAUCUAUUUAGUUAACUAACUAAUACAAGCAAUGACAGUUAUUUUCUCUGAACCAAUGAAUGAAUCUCUAAUCUUAAUUGACAUUUUUUUCAGGAAUCUUUUGAAGAUGAUGAGAAUGUCGGCAGAUUGGAUUAUGACCAUGAGUUCCACUUCAGCUGCAUAAAAAGUUGGUUGAUUAUACAGAAUAAAUGUCCCAACUGUAGAUCAAGUGCGAUCUGACUUUAAAAAUCACUGUAAGGUUUAUGUUAAAAGAUAGAGCAGUGAAGCAUGGUUCUUUCGAAUGUACUUGACUUUAUUGACCAAUCUAUGAUGAUCUGAGAUGAUCAGAGAUGAUCGUACAUAGAUUGCAUUCAAUCAAUUUGUAUUUUGUAUGAAUGUAAAUGAUGAUUAUAAUGUUUAUUUAUAGUGAUUAGUGAUGAGUUAGUUACACUACAACAACUAUUUAGUUAGUUAUGUUACUUAUGUAAAUAGAUUAGCUUUGCCUAAUCCGUAACACCCCCCUUCAAGUGGAGCGGGAGUUCUGUGGAGCUCUGAUACCAUAUUGACCAAUCGAUGAUGAUUGGAGAUGAUCGUAGAUUUUAUUCAAUCAAUCUGUAUUUUGCAUGAAUGUAAAUGAUGAUUACAAUGUUUAUUUAUAGUGAUGAGUGAUAAGUUAGUUACACAACAAUAACUAUUUAGUUAGUUAUCUUACUUAUGUUAAUGGAUUAGCUUUACCUAAAUUAAACCCGUCUCAUAAAAUGUUGACGUCGGGAUUAUUUAGCAAAAUCUAAUGUAUUGUAUUUAAAUCGUCGUACUGUUCUCAAACCACUGUAUUGUACUGAGGUUCCAUCGAGCCGGCAGAUCUCCUUUCACCAUAUCGGCGGUCAUGUAAGGUUAAUUACUUAAUUAAUACUCUAUUUCUUUUGUUAUAGCUGGUUUUAGACGAAAUCGAUCCAGAAUCAAUCGGAUUGAUGGUACCCAAUCACUCUUCUACUCCAACCUCUAUUUUAGACUGGCUUGUAAGUUUUUCCUAAUGUCUUAACUUUCAUAAAUACAAUUUUUCUGACCAUGAAAAUAUAAGAGUGAAAGGUUGGUUGAUUAAUGUUGUUUUCUUCUUCUUAUAUCACAGAUGGUUUUCGAUGAGGUUGAUAUAGGAUCUUCCGAACAUACCACACAUGAUAAUCCUCCUACUCGAACCAUAAAUAACGGAGAUUCUGAUCCGAAAAAAUCAUCUCGAAAUAUCUGAAACCAUCUCGAGUUAUGUCUUGUGAUAAAAACGUACUAUGUUCGAUAUGUCAGGUAUUUUGAUUUAUUUAUUAACCACAAAUGAAUGUAUACAUGAGUGUUUAUAGCAAUUGAUAAACAAGUAGUGACUAACAAACCUGACUAUCUAUUUAGUUAACUAACUAAUACAAGCAAUGACAGUUAUUUUCUCUGAACCAAUGAAUGAAUCUCUAAUCUUAAUUGACAUUUUUUUCAGGAAUCUUUUGAAGAUGAUGAGAAUGUCGGCAGAUUGGAUUAUGACCAUGAGUUCCACUUCAGCUGCAUAAAAAGUUGGUUGAUUAUACAGAAUAAAUGUCCCAACUGUAGAUCAAGUGCGAUCUGACUUUAAAAAUCACUGUAAGGUUUAUGUUAAAAGAUAGAGCAGUGAAGCAUGGUUCUUUCGAAUGUACUUGACUUUAUUGACCAAUCGACGAUGAUCUGAGAUGAUCAGAGAUGAUCGUACAUAGAUUGCAUUCAAUCAAUUUGUAUUUUGUAUGAAUGUAAAUGAUGAUUACAAUGUUUAUUUAUAUCGAUUAGUGAUGAGUUAGUUACACUACAACAACUAUUUAAUUAGUUAUGUUACUUAUGUAAAUAGAUUAGCUUUGCCUAAUCCGUAACACCCCCCUUCAAGUGGAGCGGGAGUUCUGUGGAGCUCUGAUACCAUAUUGACCAAUCGAUGAUGAUCGGAGAUGAUCGGAGAUUUUAUUCAAUCAAUUUGUAUUUUGCAUGAAUGUAAAUGAUGAUUACAAUGUUUAUUUAUAGUGAUGAGUGAUAAGUUAGUUACACAACAAUAACUAUUUAGUUAGUUAUCUUACUUAUGUUAAUGGAUUAGCUUUACCUAAAUUAAACUCGUCUCAUAAAAUGUUGACGUCGGGAUUAUUUAGCAAAAUCUAAUGUAUUGUAUUUAAAUCGUCGUACUGUUCUCAAACCACUGUAUUGUACUGAGGUUCCAUCGAGCCGGCAGAUCUCCUUUCACCAUAUCGGCGGUCAUGUAAGGUUAAUUACUUAAUUAAUACUCUAUUUCUUUUGUUAUAGCUGGUUUUAGACGAAAUCGAUCCAUAAUCAAUUGGAUUGAUGGUACCAAAUCACUCUUCUACUCCAACCUCCAUUUUAGACUGGCUUAUAAGUUUUUCCUAAUGUCUUAACAUUUAUAUAUACAAUUUUUUUGACCAUGAAAAUAUAAAAGUGAAAGGUUGGUUGAUUAAUGUUAUUUUUUUCUUAUAUCACAGAUGGUUUUGGAUGAGGUUGAUAUAGGAUCUUCCGAACAUACGACACAUGAUAAUCGUCCUACUCGAACCUUAAAUAACGGAGAUUCUGUAUCCGAAAAAAUCAUCUCAAAAUAUCUGAAACCAUCUCGAGUUAUGUCUUGUGAUAAAAACGUACUAUGUUCGAUAUGUCAGGUAUUUUGAUUUAUUCAUUAACCUCAAAUGAAUGUUUACAUGAGUGUUUAUAGCAAUUGAUAAACAAGUAGUGACUAACAAAACUGACUAUCUAUUUAGUUAACUAACUAAUACUGUUAUUUUUUCUGAUUCAAUGAAUGGAUCUCUAAUCUUAAUUGACAUUUUUUUCAGGAAUCUUUUGAAGAUGAUGAGAAUGUCGGCAGAUUGGAUUGUGACCAUGAGUUCCACUUCAGUUGCAUAAAGAGUUGGUUGAUUAUACAGAAUAAAUGUCCCAACUGUAGAUCAAGUGCGAUCGGUCUUUUAAAUUCACUGUAAGGUUUAUGUUAAAAGAUAGAGCAGUGAAACAUGGUUAUUUCGAAUGUAUUUGACUUUAUUGACCAAUAGAGAUGAUCGUACGUAGAUUUUAUUCAAUCAAUCUUUAUUUUGCAUGAAUGUAAAUGAUAAUUACAAUGUUUAUUUAUAGUGAUGAGUUAGUUACACUACAAUAACUAUUUAGUUAGUUAUGUUACUUAUGUUAAUGGAUUAGCUUUGCCUAAUCCGUAACAGCCUUAAUUCUUCUCUUUAGAUUAACCUGUGAUUUAAUCUGGGUUGUAAUAGUAGUGAUUAGUAUAAGCUAAAUUGCAUGUACCGAUUGUCUAAAGUUUGUAAAUUUUUUAUGAAGUCAUUUUCUGAUUGUAAAUUCUCAUAAAAUUCUUUUUAGUGGAAGAGAAAUUUAUUUUUAAUCUUCUUUAUAAUUAAACUCGUCUCAUAAAAUGUUGACGUCAGGAUUAUUUAGCAAAAUCUAAUGUAUUGUAUUUAAAUCGUCGUACUGUUCUCAAACCACUGUAUUAUACUGAGGUUCCAUCGAGCCGGCAGACCUCCUUUCACCAUAUCGGCGGUCAUGUAAGGUUAAUUACUUAAUUAAUACUCUAUUUCUUUUGUUAUAGCUGGUUUUAGACGAAAUCGAUCCAGAAUCAAUCGGAUUGAUGGUACCCAAUUACUCUUCUACUCCAACCUCUAUUUUAGACUGGCUUGUAAGUUUUUCCUAAUGUCUUAACUUUCAUAAAUACAAUUUUUCUGACCAUGAAAAUAUAAGUGUGAAAGGUUGGUUGAUUAAUGCUGUUUUCUUCUUCUUAUAUCACAGAUGGUUUUCGAUGAGGUUGAUAUAGGAUCUUCCGAACAUACGACACAUGAUAAUCCUCCUACUCGAACCAUAAAUAACGGAGAUUCUGAUCCGAAAAAAUCAUCUCGAAAUAUCUGAAACCAUCUCGAGUUAUGUCUUGUGAUAAAAACGUACUAUGUUCGAUAUGUCAGGUAUUUCGAUUUAUUUAUUAACCACAAAUGAAUGUAUACAUGAGUGUUUAUAGCAAUUGAUAAACAAGUAGUGACUAACAAAACUGACUAUCUAUUUAGUUAACUAACAAUGACAGUUAUUUUCUCUGAACCAAUGAAUGAAUCUCUAAUCUUAAUUGACAUUUUUUUCAGGAAUCUUUUGAAGAUGAUGAGAAUGUCGGCAGAUUGGAUUAUGACCAUGAGUUCCACUUCAGCUGCAUAAAAAGUUGGUUGAUUAUACAGAAUAAAUGUUCCAACUGUAGAUCAAGUGUGAUUUGUCUUUUAGAUUCACUGUAAGGUUUAUGUUAAAAGAUAGAGCAAUGAAAUAUGGUUCUUUCGAAUGUACUUGACUUUAUCGACCAAUCGAUGAUGAUCUGAGAUGAUCUGAGAUGAUCAGAGAUGAUCAUACAAUGAUUGCAUUCAAUCAAUUUGUAUUUUGUAUGAAUGUAAAUUAUGAUUACAAUGUUAUUUAUAGUGAUGAGUAAUGAGUUAUUUACACUACGAUAAUUAUUUAGUUAAUUAUGUUACUUAUGUAAAUGGAUUAGCUUUCCCUAAUCCGUAACACCCCACCUCAAGUGGAGCGGGAGUUUUGUGGAGCUCUGAUACCAUAUGGACCAAUCGAUGAUGAUCGAAGAUGAUCGUAGAUUGUAUUCAAUAAUCUGUAUUUUGCAUGAAUGUAAAUGAUGAUUACAAUGUUUAUUUAUAGUGAUGAGUUAGUUACACUACAAUAACUAUUUAGUUAGUUAUGUUACUUAUGUAAAUGGAUUCGCUUUGCCUAAUCCGUAACAGACUUAAUUCUUCUUUUUAGAUUACUCUGUGAUUUAAUCAGGGUUGUAAUAUUAAUGAUUACUAUAAGCUAAAUUGCAUGUACUGAUUGUCUAAAGUUUGUAAAUUUUCUACGAAGUCAUUUGAUGAUUGUGAAUUCUCAUAAAAUUCUUUUUAGUGGAAAAGAAAUUUAUUUUUAAUCUUCUUUAUAAUCAAACUCGUCUCAUAAAAUGUAGACGUCAGGAUUAUUUAGCAAUAUCUAAUGUAUUGUAUUUAAAUCGUCGUACUGUUCUCAUACCACUGUAUUGUACUGAGAUUCCAUCGAGCCGGCAGACCUCCUUUCACCAUAUCGGUGGUCAUGUAAGGUUUAUUAUUAUUUAAUUAAUACUCUAUUUCUUUUGUUAUAGAUGGUUUUAGACGAAAUUGAUGCAUAGUCAAUCGGAUUGAUGGUACCAAAUCACUCUUCUACUCCAACCUCCAUUUUAGACUGGCUUUAAAGUUUUUCCUAAUGACUUAACUUUCAUAAAUACAAUUUUUUUGACCAUGAAACUAUAAAAGUGAAAGGUUGGUUGAUUAAUGCUGUUUUUUUUUCUUAUAUGACAUAUGAUUUUGGAUAAGGUUGAUAUAGGAUCUUCCGAACAUACGACACAUGAUAAUCCUCCUUCUCGAACCUUAAAUAACGGAGAUUCUUUAUCCGAAAAAAUCAUCUCAAAAUAUCUGAAACCAUCUCGAGUUAUGUCUUGUGAUAAAAACGUACUAUGUUCGAUAUGCCAAGUAUUUUGAUUUAUUCAUUAACCUCAAAUGAAUGUUUACAUGAGUUUUUAUAGCAAUUGAAAAACAAGUAAUGACUAACAAAACUAACUAUCUAUUUAGUUAACUAACUAAUACAAGCAAUGCCAGUUAUUUUCUCUAAACCAAUGAAUGAAUUUCUAAUCUUAAUUGACAUUUUUUUCUGGAAUCUUUUGAAGAUGAUGAGAAUGUCGGCAGAUUGGAUUGUGACCAUGAGUUCCACUUCAGUUGCAUAAAGAGUUGGUUGAUUAUACAGAAUAAAUGUCCCAACUGUAGAUCAAGUGCGAUCGGCCUUUUAAAUUCACUGUAAGGUUUAUGUUAAAAGAUAGAGCAGUGAAGCAUGGUUCUUUCGAAUGUACUUGACUUUAUUGACCAAUCGAUGAUGAUCUGAGAUGAUCAGAGAUGAUCGUACAUAGAUUGCAUUCAAUCAAUCUGUAUUUUGUAUGAAUGUAAAUAAUGAUUACAAUGUUUAUUUAUAGUGAUUAAUGAUGAGUUAGUUACACUACAACAACUAUUUAGUUAGUUAUGUUACUUAUUGGUGAUACAGUAUCUCGAACCCGGUCACAACCUACCAGCAACUAGAAGUUCGGAUAGCCUAAGAUGAGUUAAGGUACCUAUUCUAGGGUUGGGGAGGUCCGAAGUUGAACCCUUGGAAAAUCGACUUUCCUGAGGAUCGACUUCCCUGGGAUCGACUUCUGAAUAAAGUCGAUCACCAGGAAAGUCGACCCCCAGAAAGUCGAUCUCUGGAAAGUCGAUCUCGGGCCCCAAUCUGAUCAGUUAGGCAGUUAGGCGGUUACUUCCCAAAUGACCAGAUCACCCCCACGAGAACCCCUAUAAAUAGGAGGCAUCCCCACUCAUUAAAGGCAGGUCAUUUGGAGCGAAAGGAUUCCUAGCGAAGCAGAGCUCUGCGCACUUGAGUUCCGGUCCGGUUUCCCGCUUGGCGCUUGCUUGCGCGUCUUGGAGUGUUGGUCGGGUUUCACCCCUAUCACUUAUGUAAAUGGAUUUGAUUUGCCUAAUUCGUAACACCCCCCCUCAAGUGGAGCGGAAGUGAUACCAUAUUGACCAAUCGAUGAUGAUCGGAGAUGAUCGUAGAUUGUAUUCUAUCAAUCCCGACUUAACCACCAGGAGUAAGUUAAGCCGGGCAGGUAAGUGCUUAAUUUUAUCCAAUAAGUAAAUUAUUUAGCCCUACUUAAUCUCAAAAAUAAUUAAUUACAGUAAAUAGAACAAAUAAAAUUUGAGCACGUGGGUCUAUGGGUUUAAACAAAACAAAAAGGAGAUUAUUGCACGUGGGUCUGUGGGUAUUUAGGAAAUUGCAUUGAAACACGCACGUGGGCUAGAACUUAAGUAGGCUGGAAUUUUAAAAUUAAUCCUAGGUAAUAUAAAAUACAAUGCAACGUGGGCUUAAAUAUUUUAAUAUGAUGAUAAUUUGCAUGAAAAAUUCCAAGAUAUUUUUGUUUUUUGGAAAGGGUACUUUAAUAUAAAAGAAAUAGUAUUUUAACAUUUUUAAGACUAAUUAAUCUAAAUCUAACUAAUUAAUUUACCCGCCGGCAGUUAGCCGUUACUAAAUCCCUUCAUCCGUCGCAGUGGAUGAGUAUCAGGAGGGCAUCCCAUUGGAGCAAUGUCCUCCCUUCACUUGGUGUCCGGUGCCUCCUCUUGUAGUUUCUUUCAUCGAAGCCAAUUCCGACCAUGUCGAUGCAAAAUCGGAGGACUACCUGCUUGGGCUCGACCUUGUUCUUGAUUCUUUGGAGGUUACGUUGCUUCCACACUUGGAAUAGAAUCACACCCAACAUUGACCAUUGCAGCCCCCAUGCUGGAGUUCAUGGUAUGAUUUUAUUCAGCACGCCGUCAGCCUCUUCAAAGUUUUUUGCGGCGUCCAGGCUGACCAACGAGCUCGCUGCUUCGAACCCUUCUCUUAGGAUCCAUCUUGAGUACUCACAACUCAAGAAGAUGUGGUGCGCGCUUUCCUGCUCCUUCCCGCACAGUUCAUGUAAAGAGUCCGUAGAUCGUCAUCCCGCGUCGUCUCAGUCUGUCCUUGAUUGGGAGGUUGGCUGACAUGUAUCUCCAAAAAUUGAGCGCGACUUUUGCCAUUUUAACCGCCCAUAUACCUUUUGCAAGUCUAUCCUUUGGGUGAUCCGGACGUAUGGUAGAGACUACAUUCCUGACCAAGCUAGCUGUGUCUUUCCCUAUCUAGCUCUUAACUCCGUUCGAUCCCAGGACCGCGCAUUUUGCAAUUUGGGUUCUCUGACGAAGAGUACGACUAGUUCCAAGAUAAAUGCAAGUACUACAAAUAUAGGACUAGUUUGCAUGAUAAUUUUAAUUCUUACUAUCAUUAUGAAAACAGUAACGGUAAAUGGGAGGGUCACCAUAAAAAAUACGCAAUGUUGUAGGACCAACCUGCAAAAUCUGGGAAAAGUCAUUAAAAAUAUACGUACACGUGGGCACUACUAUAGUCAAUAUAAAAAUAUCAUGGUAGGAAAAGUGAGAAAACGUCAAAUCAGAAAGAAAAAUUACAUUAAAGAAUCAUCACACACAACAAAAAAUACUUAGGGUCAAGGAAGGGAAAACUACAAAAUUACACAUGGGAUGGAGUUGGGUAAAACAACUACACCAAAUUGGAAUAACAACGGAUGAAGUUAGUUACGAAAUUAGGUUAGUUAGUAAUCACAAUCAGUUAAGUAAGAACUGCCUGUAAUUAGUAUAAAUAGAAACACAGAGUAUAUACAAAUACACAAUUCAAGUUUACUACAACGAUUGUUCUUAAUCAUCUUCUUCCUCAACUCCGAUCAACGUCGUGUAAAAUCUCAAUAUGGUAUCAUCGACCGGUAAUGCCGAUGGGGCUAUAGAUUCAGUUUCCACUGCACACAUGGCAUGGAUGGAUUAAAAACCCAGCGUGCUUCCAAAUCUUUUGCAUCUUAUAUAUAUUUAAUUCUGGGAAAACCGUUCCUUGCUUAUCUGUCCACUAUGAAUUUCUGAGGCCAUUAAUCAUUUAUUCAUAUGUCGCUAGCUUAGCAUUAGUAGCUUUAUUCUUGUCCCAUUCUUCUAAUCAUCUGCAACCAAUAAUUAAUUCAUAUCACAGUAUCAAUGUUUAACGAAUGUAUUAAUGUUCAAGUUACAAAUAGAAGAGAGUAAAAAAAAUUAGCUAAACCAACGGAGAGAAAGGGGGGGGGGAAUUAUACUAUGGUUUUAUAUUCUUAAUUUCAUAUAUGAUUGAACUUUAUUUAUGUCAAGCACAUUUAGAUAUAUCAUAGAUUAAAUUUCAUUCCUAAUCUUCUACAAAGAUUUAAGAAAAUAUCAUAUGAUACAACUUUAGUGAAGAUAUCAACCAGUUGUUGGGAGGAGCUUACUUGUAUAAUUUCCAACAAACCUUUAAUGACAAGUUCUCUGACAAAAUGGAUGUCGGUUUCAAUGUGUUUAGAACCUUUCUUUAUAACAGUAUUUUUAGCCAUAAAGAUAGCUGAGUUGUUAUCACUAUUUAUGAGUUGGAUAUAUUUAAGCCUAUGUCCUAAAUGCCUACAAAUAAAGUGUGACCAUCUCAUUUCAGCUGCCAAAGAUGCUACGGCUCUAUAUUCCGAUUCUGCACUUGAUCUAGAAACUGUAUUUUGUUUCUUUGAUGACCAGUUAACAAGAUUUUCACCAAUGAAGAGAUAGUAUUCAGAUGUGGAUUUCCUUGUAUCUGGGUCGCCUGCAAAGUCAGCUUCACAGAAUCCUACCAUCCUGUGAUGAUCAUUCAUAUUUUUUGAAAAAUGAAGCCCAUGACUGAGUGUGCCUUUUACAUAUCUCAUAAUUCUCUUUGCCGCAAUCAAGUGUGAGGUUUUUGGUUCAUUAACAAAUUAGGAAACCUGAUUAAUAGAGUAUGUGAGAUAUGGCCUAGUGAGUGAUAAAUAUUGUAAAGAGCCUACUAGUGCUCUAAAACUAGUCCCUUCAUCCUUAGACAAUUUUGAGUUUGGAAGAACAGGGUAUUUACACGGUUUGCAGUUCAACAUAUUAUUUUUACCUAAAAUGUUAAUUGCAUAUCUUGAUUGAUUUAGUUCGAGAGAUUCAUCAAAAUUAUGAAUCACUUCCAUUCCUAGAAAUUUUUUUAGCAGACCAAGAUCUCUACAUAUGAAUUCUUGACAUAAAUGUUUGAUGAAUUUUUCAACUUAAUUCAUUACUGUUAUUUCCAGUAAUGAUUAAGUCAUCCACAUAUAUUAUAACCCAAAUGAGUAUGUUAUCUUGGUUAUAUACAAACAAUAAGGUAUCUGCUUGACUGUUUGUAAAUUCAUUUAAAACUAAGAAACUUCUAAGUCUGAAAUACCAAGCCUUAGGAGCUUGUUUAAGUCCAUAUAUGGAUUUAUUUAGAUGACAUACUAAACUUGAAUGUUCAGGUUCUACAAAUCCUGGAGGUUGAGCGAUAAAAACUUUUUCUUUUAGUUCUCCUUGUAAGAAAGCAUUCUUGACAUCAAUUUGCCUAAGCCUAUAAUUUCUAUUUACUGCUAGAGACAGGACAAUCCUAAUAGUUGAUGAUUUAACUACUGGACUAUAUAUUAAUCCAUAGUCAAUAUUUUCUUGUUGUUUAAACCCUUGUGCCACUAAUCUGGCCUUAUAUCUUUCUACUGUCCCAUCUGAUUUUCUCUUAACCUUGAAAAUCCAUUUGGUUCCAAUUACAUUCAUGUUUUUUUAGCAGGAACUGGUGAGACAUGUCUGAUUACGUCAGUCACUCCCAGGAACGCCCUUCAACAAGGACUAGGGUUCCGUCGCUUUAUGCCGGACCCCCGAAGAGAUCCACGGUGCGGAGUAAGUGUUUACUUCAAGUAUUAAAGGCAACACCUGGUAAUUGCCGACUGGGACUACCAAGUCGCUGAUUCCAGGAGUGCAUCGUCGCCUCCAGACAGGGCACUCGGGUCUGGUAGACCGAGGACCUGACCACAAGGGAGUCGGCGACUCCACCUCUGAAUCGACGACUCCCAUACCUGAGUCGCCGAUUCCCAGCCAUUACUUGGGAGGGCCCACGUCAUUAUGACACCCUUAAUUGGACACCAUAAUGGAGUGGGCCCCAUGCUAAUGAAUGGGGAAGCGCCCCCAAGACCCUAUAAAAGGGGUCCUUGGGGGUCCUCCACUCCCAGGUCAUUCCCACUUGACAGACCCCAACCAGAGCAAACUAAGGAGACCGAGUCGCCGACUCCCACGUGAGUCGCCGAUUCCCCUCCUCUUCUACAGGUACAUUGACGUAGACUCCAAAGGCUCCGGCCUUCCUCGCUGUUGGAUCGAGAUCCGAGGCUAUAAGGGGGGAUAAUAGCCUCUUUUCGAUUUAUGCAAGUUAAUAGCGGAAUUACCUGCACACACUUAAGUACACAUUGAUAUAUUGAUAAGCAAGUAAAUGACCAGAUAACUGGAUAUAUUGAUAAGCAAGUAAAUGACCAGAUAACUGGAUAUAUAUAUGAUAAGUAAAUGCUUGAACAAAUAUAUGAAUAAGGAUUUAAAGCAAUUAAUAUAACCUCAGAUAGUUGACCAGAUAACUGGAUGAGGGAUCUGCGUAAAGUAGUCAACCUCUGUAUUUGACCAGAUAACUGGAAGAGAGAUCCUUUUCAAUUAAGUGUUGUUUAGUUGUUUUUGAUGAAAGAUAAAAACUAGAGUUAACAAAGAACAACACAAGAGAUUUAUACUGGUUCACCCAAACAAGGGCUAGUCCAGUCCCGACCAACUGUCAGAAUUCACUCACCUAAAGGUUAUGGCAAAACCUUAGAGUAUCAAGGAAACUCUUAAGAACCUCUCUAAGCUUUAAGGCUAGUUCGCUUAGGAACCAGUCUUUUACGGGUAGACUCACACCUUAGAGUAUCAAGGGCACUCUUAAGAACCUCUAACUUUUGCGGGUAAGUUAGUACCUUAGAGUAUCAAGGAACUCUUAAAAACCUCUCUAAGCUUUAAGGCUACUUCGCUUAGAAACCAGUCUUUUACGGGUAGACUCACACCUUAGAGUAUCAAGGGCACUCUUAAGAACCUCUAACUUUUACGGGUAAGUUAGUACCUUAGAGUAUCAAGGAACUCUUAAAAACCCUGAAAUCUUUCAAGGUAGACUCGACCUAAGAGUUUUCCCGGAAACUCUAUAAAACCAAACUAGAGCUUUAUGGUUGAGCUCAAAAACCUUCUCUCACACUUUGGUACUAUUGAGACAACCCUCUCAACCAAAGUGGACACACACAAGAGGUGAUUAGAGGAGUGGAAUAUUAAAGCAAACAACACUUCUUACUUGUAAAGAUGAACAAGAAGAUUAGAAGAAGAAGUUGGAGAGCUUUUGAAGCUUUGGAAAGCUAGGACACUUGAGCACUUGAAAGCUUGGAAGCUUGGAGGCAAAAACGUGUGGGCAAGUGUGGAGUGAAAGCUCUUGAGUUUGCUUGUAGUGUGGUAAGUGAAAAUGAGGGGUUUACCCUUCUAUUUAUAGCCUUGGCCACUCAAUGUCCACCCUUGGAUCUUCAAUGGAUGGCUCCUUGAUUUCUCACAUAAAUCCAAGCUUUGUCUUUGAUCUUAUCUUGAAUAGUGCUUUUAUUGGAUAGAGUUUGUUGGAGAAUCUUAUCUUUGUAUAAAUUCAAACUUGAAUAGUGUUUUGUCCCCUUGGAAUAUUAUACCUUGAAUAAAGUGUCAAAAGAUAAUAAUAAUAAUAUUCAAGGUAAAAAUGCAAUUAUUUCAAAUAAUAUUCAAGGUGAAAAUGCAAUUAUUCCAAAUAAUAAUAUUCAAGGUUAAAAUGCAAUUCUCCCAAUUUGACUUUUAACUUUGACUUAAACCCUUAACUCAAAUGAUUAAUUAAUUAACUGGAGUUAGGUUUAAUAUCGAUUGACUUAUUUAAACCCUAUUGAUUAAUAGUGUAAUUAGGGUUUAAAUUGACAUGAUUAAAAUAUAAUCCUAUGUCGACAAUUUUGAUUCUACAUUCUCCCCCUUUGUCGAUGGCAUAUAUGUUUUAACUCAUGUCUAGUCAAUAUUCUAUUUUACCCUUAUGAACAUGCUCCCCCUGAAUUAUUGACCCAUAAUAUUCAAUUUAAAAGCCGUGGAUCAUGCAUGAUUUCUCCCCCUUAAAACAAUAAGAUAUCGACAAAGUUAAAAAUAGAUACCUGUGAAGUAUCUCCCCCUUAAUGAUAGGACAUAUCUAAUUUGUGGAGAAAAUAAAAUUUCAUACCUUAUUGAGCUUUGAUCACAAAUUCGAUUUGUGUGGUUGACCAAAUGUGACGUCUUGCUUAUAAGAGUGUUAGUCAAUCAUAUAGGAGAAAUAACAUGUAAUUUAUGCUCAUUGAUAAAAUAUUAGAUUGAAGCCAAUUUUGAUAUACAUUAUAAGGCAAGUAUGAUAUGAUAAUUUAAAUUGCCUUGUGUUAAGAUCAUGCAAUGAAUAAUAAUCCAUGUGUAUGUUAUGGAUGAAGAUGAUCUUAACAUGUAUGGAUUAAAGAUUUUAUAAUGUUGUAAUCCAUAAGAUAUUAGUGAAUGAUAUGUAUAAAUCCAUAAUAUUCACUAAUUGCUUUAAGAAGAAAUUGAGCAUUUAAAAUUUUAAAAUCUAUGUCUUAGUGACAAAUAUAAUCAUGUAAAUAUUCACUAAGUUUUAAAAGAUUUAAAAUUUUCAUUUCAGUCCUUAAAGCCUUAGUAGUAAAACUUCACUUAAAACAAAAUUUCAUUUAAGCCCUUUGAAGUUAUGAUAAAUACUUAUAUUAAUACUUGAAAUAUUUCAUUUAAACCUUGGUAGUAUUAACUAUUUCUAAGCACUUUUUAAUUUGAAAACUUCAUGUAAAUAUUAAUUUUAAAUCCCUGAAGUUUUAACUAGAUAUUUAUUCACUGUAAAGAUAUCAUUUUGACCCUUAAGUUUUAGUGAAUCUAUUUAAAACUUAAAAACUUCAUAAACGAUUUAUGUCUAAGUCCUUGAAGUUUCACAUAACUCUAUAUUCACUGGAAAAAAUAUCAUCUUAAUCCUUAAGUUUCAGUGAAUCAUUUUAAACUUAGAAACUUCAAAAAUAAUUUAUGUUUUAGUUUCCAAGAAUUUCUUGGUUUGACUAAGCCAUGAAAAAUCGUUUUAUCUUGUAGUCUCCUUCUCAAAAGAGAGUUCUUUGAUUUCCCAUGUACUGACAUGACUUGUUAGGUUUAACAAGUAAUGAGAUUUUGAAACUAUCAUCUAAGAGCUAGCUAGGAUCUUAGCAAGGCUUGUAUUUUAGUAGCUUGUAUCCAGAAUAAUAUUUAAUUUAAAACAUACUUUUUGGUGGUCUUCAACGCAUUCUUUGCACUAUGCACGAUAGUCCAUGCUCCUAGCUGUCGUGAGUGACUAGUUGCGACAGGUUUUCUGGAUGAAGUUGCAGCAUCGAGGUUGCAGAAUGUGCAGACGACGAUUCUCAAUGCCAUGAGGUAAGGUUUGAAUUACCAAUACCAUGUGAUGCUGAUUUUGCUCAAAGUAGGAAAUAGUCUCAUGUAGUAUGUGUGCAACAUAGAAUUAAUCUUAUAAUUUUCUCAAUUAUAUGUAUGUGAUGACAUGGAAUAUGCAUGAUUUAAAUAGUUAUAUACAUAAGUCAAAAUUAGCUGUUUUGAUCAUCAUGUAUUUAAGUAUUUCAUAUCAUUAUGCAUGUAUAUAAUUCAUAGAUUCAUGCAUGUCAUAAGAUUCAUAAAUAAAUAUUAGCAUGCAUGUAUAAGAUAAUAAUAGUAUCAUGCUAAACUCAAACCAUGUAUCUUAUAUUUUUAAAGACCACAUACGUGUACAUGCAUAAUAUUGCAAUAUUUACUUUGCCAGACAUGCAUUUAUCAGAUAGUUAUUUGAAUCAUGUAGUUUCUAGUAGCAUGGUGAACAUGUAGGCAUGUAUUAACAUGAUUCUAUUGAUAUAUAUGAUAGUCAUAUAGUCAAGUUAAGCUCUUCAUUUUAUGCAUGCAUAUGAUGAAUUAUAUGUAUAUACUUAGUCAUGUAAAUCUUAGAUUUGUAAAUUUAUGCAUACGUAUAUUUAUUUUAAUGUGAUUAUGAUCAAGGUUAUAAGUAUAAAGAUAUUCAGGUAAAGAAUACUAAAGCUUGAGAUGCAUUCACUCAUAACUAAUCAAAUUUCACUAAGCUCACAUAUACCCAUAGAUCUUCUGAUUUUUGAAUGAACUUCUUGAUCUAAGGGUUUAGUGAAGAUGUCAGCCAUUUGAUCUUCAGUAGAAAUAUAUUCUAGGCAUAUAUUUUUCUUUUCUACAUGAUCACUAAGGAAAUGAUGUCUGACAUCAAUGUGUUUAGAUCUUGAAUGUAACACAGAGUUUUUUGAUAAACAAAUUGCACUCUUGUUGUCACAUUUAAGAGCUACUGUUUCUAAAGCUAUAUCGUAGUCGGAUAAUGUUUGUUUCAUCCACAAAAUUUGAGUGCAUGCAUUAGAUGCUGCCAUAUAUAUAUUCUGCUUCAGUUGUGGAUAAAGCAAUACUAUUUUGCAUUUUACAUGACCAUGCUACGAGUGAGCUUCCCAACAGAAAGCAUGUUUCACUAGUGCUUUUUCUGUCAGUCUUACAUCCACCAAAGUCAGCAUCACAGUAUGCUGUCAGUGUGAAUGAAUUGUCCUUAGGGUAGAAUAAUCCAAGUGUAAUUGUUCCUUUGAUAUACCUGAUUAUUCAUUUAACCGCUUUGAGACGUGACUCUUUUGGGUCUGAUUAGAAUCUGGCACAUAAGCAGACUGCAAACAUGAUGUCUGGUCUGCUGGCUGUUAGGUAUAGCAGUGAUCCAAUCAUUCCUCUGUAUUUCUUAAUGUCUACUGAUUGACCUUCAACAUCUUUAUCCAAUUUAAGUGUUGAACUCAUCGGAGUUGGCAUAGAUUUAGAUUCAGCCAAGUCAAAUUUCUUUAUCAAUUCCAUAGCAUAUUUGACUUGACUUAGGAAUAUUCCAUUCUCCUUCUGUUUGACUUGUAGACCUAAGAAAAAAGUCAACUCUCCCAUCAUACUCAUUUCAAAUUCGUCUUCCAUUUGUUUGGAAAAUUUCUUACAUAGAGUAUCAUCGGUUGAUCCAAAUAUAAUGUCAUCAACAUAGAUUUGAAUUAGAAUAAUGUCACUUUUGACAUUUUUAAUGAACAAUGUAUUAUCUAUACUCCCCAUUCUAAAUUCCUGAGAAAUGAGAAAGUUUCUUAGUCUUUCAUACCAAGCUCGGGGUGCUUGUUUCAGACCAUAGAGGGCUUUCUUAAGUUUAAGGACAUGAUCAGGGUUUUUGUAAUCUUCGAAACCGGGGGGUUGUCUAACAUAUACUUGUUCAUUGACUAUUCCAUUCAAGAAUGCACUCUUUACAUCCAUUUGAUAUAAUUUGAAAUCUUUGUAACAUGCAAAGGAUAGGAGCAUUCUGAUAGACUCUAGUCUAGCUACUGGUGCAAAUGUUUCAUCAUAAUCAAUUCCUUCUUGUUGAUUGUAUCCUUGCGCAACCAGUCUAGCUUUGUUUCUGAUUAUAGUUCCAUCUUCAUCCAGCUUGUUUCUGAAUACCCAUCUUGUCCCAAUGAUUGAUGUAUCUUUUGGUUUUGGAACUAGUUCCCAUACAUCAUUUCUCUCAAAUUGGUUGAGUUCUUCUUGCAUAGCUUGAAUCCAGUAGUUGUCGUCGAGGGCUUCAUCAACUUUCUUGGGCUCAAUUUGAGAGACAAAACAGUCAAGAACACUGUUUCCUUGAAUGGAUGAUCUGGUUUUAACACCAGCUUGAUGGUCACCAAUGAUUUGAUCAGUGGAAUGUGGGUUCCUGAGCAACCUGUUGGAUGGAGGCUCAAAGACUUCGAUUUCGACAUUGGUAGUUUCUUCAGUUGGAAUGAUGAUUUCUGGUUCUGGAACUAUUUCAUCUUCUUCUACAAUGGUUGUCUGAGUGGAUUCAUCAAAGCCAACGUGUAAUGAUUCGAUCAUUAUUUGUUUUUCUUUGAGAAGAAUUUUGUAGACUUUGCUCCUUCUAGAGUAUCCUACCAGGAUACCUUCAUCAAAUUUCUGAGCAAAUUUGUCUUGGUUGCCUCUUGUUCGGAGAACUAACAUUUGCAUCCAAAGACCUUGAAGUAUGAGACUUUUGUCUUUCUUCCAUUCCAGAUCUCAUAUGGAGUUUUGUUAAAGGUUUUUCUAAUAAUCACCUUGUUUAAUAUAUAACAGGCUGUGUUAACAGCUUCUGCCCAGAGAUACUGUGGUGAAUCAUGUUCUUGUAACAUGGAUCUACUCAUCUCUUGUAGAGUUCUGUUUUUCCUUUCAACAACUCCAUUCUGAGGGGGUGCUUGGGGAAAAGCAAAUUCAUGUUUUAUUCCAUGAGUUUUGCAAAAUUUUUCAAACUCAGAGUUCUCGAAUUCUCCUCCAUGAUCACUUCUGAUUCUUUUUAUGAGAACAUCCUUCUCAUUUUGUACACGUGUACAAAAUGAUGAGAACUCGUUGAAUGAGUCACUUUUAUUUCGUAAGAAGAAAACCCAAGUAAAUCUUGAGUAAUCAUCUACUAUUACAUACGUAAACCUUUUACCGCCAAGACUUUGGGUUUGGGUUGGCCCAAAUAAGUCCAUGUGUAAAAGUUCCAAAGGUCUGGACGUAGUAAUAUCUGUAAGGGAUUUGAAUGAGCUUUUAUGCUGUUUCCCCUUUUGACAAACAUCACAAAGAUUACUUUUCUCAUAUGCUAUUUUAGGCAGUCUAGUCACCAGUUCUUCUUUUGAUAGUUUGGAUAAUCGAGAAUAACUGAUGUGACCUAACCUUCUAUGCCAUAAUGUCUUUUCAUCACUUGCUGCAAUCAUGCAGAAGUCAUGAGUUGGCUUGGAGGGAUUAAAGGUUAUGGAAUAAGCAUUGUUUUUCCUAUAUCCUUUAGCAAUUAUAACUCCCUUGGAGUUAAUGAUUGAGCAUAAAUGUUUUUCAAAUUUAACUGUGCAAUCAUUAUCAUAUAAUUGGCUUAUGCUGAUAAGAUUAUGUUUAAGGCCAUUAACUAAGUAAACAUCUCUAAGAAAUGGUCUAUCUAUAUUACCUAUAUUACCCCUACCUAUAAUGGUACCUUCGUUGUUAUCGGCGAACUUGACCUUCUUAGUAGUAGGCCAGUCGGUCAAGUCUGUCAGUAGACUUGAAUUUCCAGUCAUGUGCCUUGUGCAUCCACUGUUGAACAGCCAUUUUGACACAUGUUUUUCCUGAAAGAGUUGAAUAACCUUUUGGUACCUAUACUGAGUUGGGUCCAGAUGAAUUAACAUAGUUGAUUUGCUUAUAAUUUUUUAACUCAUUCUUGGUCAUCCAUUUUUGUUUUGGAUGAUUCAUCUUCGAUAGAUCUUUCUUUUUUUUAAGAUGAAUAGGUUUUCUGUAGCUAGAUUCUCUUACAAAAUAAUCAUUAUAUGUUAAAGCAUGUAAAGGUUUUUUAAUAGGUGUAUUUGAUUCAAACCCUAAGCCAAAUUUCUUUUAACCUGAGCUUGAACCUUGCAACAUGUCAUUUAGCUUAGAUGAACUAUUUAAGAAUUUUUCAAGAACAUUAUUCUUCUGACCUAUUCUUUUGAUUUGUAAUUGCAUAUCAUUACAUUUUUCAGAUAAUUAUUGUAUAGUUUGUACAUGCUCAAGUAUGAUUUUGUCCUUAAAUUCUAUUUCUGUUUUGAGCAUAAUUGUUUCUUUUUCUUUUAACAUAAUAUCUUCUUCAAAAUUAUCUAUUUUUAAUUCUAGCAAUUCAAUCUUAUCAUCAUCCAUUUCCUUAGAUUGAUUUUCUUCAGAUUCUAAAAUGUUAAGCAAUUCAAAGUUUUGACUCUUAAGUAUCUUAAUUUUUUCUUCAUCUUUGUUUAAUUUACUUGUGAGUUUUAGAUUUCUUUCUUUCAAUUGCAUGCAUUCUUUUUGUGAUUCUUCUAAUUCAAUAGAUUGAUCUAUAUGUGAUUUAUUCAUGCAUUCUAGUUUUAAUGACUUAGUUAAUUUGUUCUCAUUUUUAUAUUUUCCCAUUAAUUCUAGAUAUGCUUCUUCUAAAGAAUUAAAUCUAGUAUUUGCAAAACUCACCUCAGAGUUGCUUUCAUGAGCCAUGAGACAAUCUUCUUGAUCCGAGUCGGAGUCUGUCCAUUGUGCUUGAUUUGCUCUUUCUUUCUUUAGCAGAGGACAUUCUGGUUUGAUGUGUCCAGACUUGUCGCAUAGACAACAGGUUGGUUCUUUUGACUCCUUGCUCAUUCUUCCGUCGAACUUCUGAUGACUUGAUCUUGAGUCUUUCUUCUCUUUCCUCUUUUUCUGAUAUCUUCUCAGAUGAUUUGUGAUCAUUCCUAGAUCAUCUUCUGAUGUUUCAUUGUCAGAUUGACUUUUAAAAGCAAUAUCCUUUUUCUCUUCUUUAGCUCUAGAGAUGAAUCUUUCUUCUUCAUAGGCCAUCAGAUUUCCACAGAGUUUCACAACUGUAAGUUUAUUGAGAUCAUGAACCUCUUGGAUAGCAUUCCUUUUGGAGUAGUACUUGUUUGGAAGGCUCCUCAGAAUUUUGCUUACUUGCUUCUUCUCAGUUAUUAGAUCUCCUAGUCCAGCUAGAUCAUUAACUAUUUGUGAUAGUCUAAUGUUCAUCUCUGCGAUAGUCUCGUCUUCCCUCAUAGAGAAUCUUUCGAACUGAGAGGUAGCAUGUAACAGCUUGUUUUCUUUAACAUGGGAGGUUCCUUCAUGUAUAUCCUCCAAUGCUUUCCAUACCUUGUGAGCUGUAUCCAAGCAUCGAAUUCUGCUGUACUCAGAUUCAUUGAGUGCUCCAUAUAGAGCAUUCAAUGCUCUUGAGUUGUUGUUUUCCUUGAGAAUGUCCAUUUCUCCCCAAGUCUCUUCAUUGCUUGUUGGAAUUUCAUAAUCCUCUAAUAUGAUCUUCCAUACUCCAUUGUUGAUUGACUUCAAGUAUAACUUCAUCUUGUUCUUCCAGAAGUCAUACUUUACUCCAUCGAACCUGGGAGGUUUGUUUGACGCAAGACCAGUGUUGAAUUCACCAUUUGGUGCCAUAAUUGUUGUUGUAAGAUGUUAGUCAAACUUCAACGGUACUUGGCUCUGAUACCACUUGUUGGAUCGAGAUCCGAGGCUAUAAGGGGGGAUAAUAGUCUCUUUUCGAUUUAUGCAAGUUAAUAGCGGAAUUACCUGCACACAUUUAAGUACACAAAUGGUUGUAUAAUAAUAGUAUAAUAUUGUUAGCAAUAUAAUACUGGUUCACCCAAACAAGGGCUAGUCCAGUCCCGACCAACUGUCGGAAUUCACUCGCCUAAAGGUUAUGACAAACCUUAGAGUAUCAAGGAAACUCUUAAGAACCUCUCUAAGCUUUAAGGCUACUUCGCUUAGGAACCAGUCUUUUACGGGUAGACUCACAUCUUAGAGUAUCAAGGGCACUCUUAAGAACCUCUAACUUUUGCGGGUAAGUUAGUACCUUAGAGUAUCAAGGAACUCUUAAAAACCUCUCUAAGCUUUAAGGCUACUUCGUUUAGGAACCAGUCUUUUACGGGUAGACUCACACCUUAGAGUAUCAAGGGCACUCUUAAGAACCUCUAACUUUUACGGGUAAGUUAGUACCUUAGAGUAUCAAGGAACUCUUAAAAACCUCUUAAAUCUUUCAAGGUAGACUCGACCUAAGAGUUUUCUCGGAAACUCUAUAAAACCAAACUAGAGCUUUAUGGUUGAGCUCAAAAACCUUCUCUCACACUUUGGUACUAUUGAGACAACCCUCUCAACCAAAGUGGACACACACAAGAGGUGAUUAGAGGAGUGGAAUAUUAAAGCAAACAACACUUCUUACUUGUAAAGAUGAACAAGAAGAUUAGAAGAAGAAGUUGGAGAGCUUUUCAAGCUUUGGAAAGCUAGGACACUUGAGCACUUGAAAGCUUGGAAGCUUGGAGGCAAAAACGUGUGGGCAAGUGUGGAGUGAAAGUUCUUG
rnacentral:lncRNA from 1 species